rnacentral:lncRNA from 1 species
UGCUGGAACAUGUUUGUUUCACGGUGCAGAGAGGUGAAACUGGGUGCUUGGCCCUCUUGUAUAGUGAGUAUGAAAUAAGAGGUGGAAUUGGGUGCUUUGUCCCUCUUGCAUAGUGAGUGUGAAAUAAGCAGGGAGGGAGGACAGGACAGGGGAGUUCAAUGUGAAUGCCAAAUGUAUAUUAAUAAUUUAAAAAUUAAAACACAAUAUUGUUAAGAUAGAAUCUCUUUUGGCUGAGUUUUCAGGGAAUGAAGAAUGGUCGUAACUAAGGAGGUCCAGAGGAAGAGAGCCGUGGGGCUAUCCUAGGCUCCAUGGGUGAGCCUUGGAGCUAGUGUGGGUUAAGGAGCGUCACUUGUGCUACAAGAGAAGGGGAGGCUACCAAGACUCCCAUGGGAUGUCCUAGGAAACUUGUUGGAGAUAAAAUAUUUUCUUUUUAAGUUUGGUUUGAAUCUUUUUAGUUUUGGAAUUAUGUUUUGUAACAGGUUGUGAGUCAUAAUAUUAGACUUUCAACUUGAAUGAGUGUUAGUAGAUAUUUUAGAGUAUUCUAGGAUAUUAUUCUAAUAGCAUGAUUUGGGGGAUUGUAUGAUUAGGGGAUUGCAUGAUUAAAGGGAGAUUACAUGAUUAAGGGAUGAUUGAUUUACUUUUCAAAUGUAUUGCAGUUCUAAUCCUAUAUAAAACUCUCUAUUUUACAUUGUAAGAUAUAUAAUAGAAAACAUCUUCCCUUUUCUAUUUUUCCAUAUGGUAUUUGAGCUAGGUUGAUUUUGACAAUUAAAUCAAAAUGUCUUGUUUCCACCGGAGGCAGCACAUAACUUUUGCGGGUAUCCAUUUUUUUAAUUGUUUUAACUUCAUCUUAAAAAAAAUAGGUAGUUAGCAAUAAGUUCUGGUUUUUUUGUUGGACUUAUUUUUCCUCCUCAUUUUCAAAAAAGUGACAUGUCCAGAGUAGUUAAUUUCUUAGGUUGAAAUAUGACAUCAUUUUUUCUUUUUCUUUCUAUUUAUUUUAUUCGUGCAAAUUGAAGAGGGCCUCAAUUUGAGGGGGAGUGUUGGAGAUAAAAUAUUUUUCUUUUUAAGUUUGGUUUGAAUCUUUUUAGUUUUGGGAUUAUGUUUUGUAACAAGCUGUAACUCAUAACAUAAGACUUUCAACUUGAGGGAUAUUAUUUUAAUAGCAUGAAUGAUUUGGGAGAUUGUAUGAUUAGAGGGGAUUGCAUGAUGAAAGGGA